AGUAAUUAAUAGUUUAAUACUUAAUUUGAUUGAGUAAUUUUUUAUUAUAUUAAUUGUAUUUGUUUUUUUAAUAUUAUAAAGUUUCUUUUAUAAUAUUAUACCUUAUCUUGUGCUUCCUUAUAAUAGAUAAUUGUAGGAAUUUUGUAUUUUAUAUUUAUCAUUUAUAAAAUAUAACAUUAUGUCCAUGGCGUGUUGUGUCUUAUUUUUUAUUGUUAUGUUGUGUCGCAGUGUUUGUGCCAUGUCUGUGUUCAUGUGUAUGUGUUCGUGCUUCAUGGGUUUAUCCUAUUUCUUUGUUAUAUAUCUCAUUUCCAAAUGUGCUAAGUUCUUAGACUUAUGAUGCAUCAUUUAUUCUUUUUUGUUUAGAUUUUUAUCAAAACAUUUCCUAAGGAUUUGGUGUAUAGUUUAAAAAGCCAAAAAAACAAAAUACUCAUCAUCAGUUAGUUAUGUAGUUUAUUUAAACAUCUUAGGGUCUGUGAAUUUUUUUGAUACAGAUCUUAGAUGAGAUUCACAAAAUUUGGCGAGUAAGGUCAAAUUUGCGCGCAAUGAACUUUUAUUAAAAAUUAAUUGUCCCUUUAGUUUAUAUUAAAAAAAUUGAAAGAAUCUUGACAAAUGAUUAUUUAAGCAUUGUUUAACAAAAAUCCUGCAUAGAUAUUAAGGAUCAUAAAAGAGUCGUAUGUUCGAUCUUUAACUCACUCUAUGAAAAAAAUUUAGAUUGUUUGACCUUUGACAAUAUUUAAUCACACAUGCAAUCAUAACUAAAAUAAAAGAAUGGGAAAAGAGCACAGGAAAGAUAUCACCGAAUUACAAUUAAAGCCUUGCACUAUUACAAGAAGAUAACUUCAAAAAGAAAUAGGUUAUCUCCAAUUGCAACAUGCUAGAAACAAUCACAUCCAACUAGUAAUUAUGCAAAAUGGAAGCAACAUUAUUCAGUAGACUAUUAAUGUUAGUUUUAUAUGUAUGAUGAACCUUUUUAACAGCCAUAAGUUCUAUAUUUAUACUGAAUAGCCUCAAGAUUGUUUGAUAUACAUUAUUUUAGUGUCCUAUGAUGGCCAAUUAGUCUAUUAUUUUGUACCAUCGACACUAUGUUGAAAGAUAACUUACAAUGAUUUUUAAUGUACAUUCUGUCUACUUUUCAGUCCUAUAUUUCUUCUACUAGAACUUCAAAGUUCAAGCUUUUUGUUACACUUCCUAAUCAAUGGUAACUUGUAAACGAAAAGAAUAUAAAGUUGACGUCCUACCCUGUGUCAGAGCUUGUGUGCAAGAAUAAUUUUCAUUCUUAUAAGUUUUGUGAUUACCUUAAAGUAGCUGUUGUUUUUUUUUUUAUAAUUUUUUUAAGUGCAUGCAGAUGCAUAGUUGUGCGCUCAAAUUUCAUUUCUGAUUAUAAUUGUAAUUUCUAGAUCACUGCAUGCGGUGGCCAUUCAUUUGCUGUGUAAGUGAUAGGGUAUUUCAGCAUUUGCAAAAUCAGACUUCAGGUAUUGUACUGGUAAGGCUAUUGUGCAUCCCCAGUCUUCAAAGGUCAUAUUGGUGAAGCAUUAUGCAUUGGAUAUGGCUUCUUUAAAACUAAGUCCUUCAGAACAUCAGACAUUUAUAUUUAUAGGUUAAUCUCCUUAUUUUAGUACUAAACUGCUUAUUUCUCUGCUGAUUACUCUUUUACUUUAUCUCCAUGGUUAAAUAAAUUACUCUUGAGACAGAUAUUAUAAUACUAUAAUAUAAGUUAUCAACGUAGCUGUCUAUAUGCAGUGAUGUGGAUUUAGUUGUAAAUUAGCUCGGGAUUUAAUGAACAUAAAAUCUGCAAUAUUAGCAAUGAAGAAUUGAAGUUGGAAGAUGCCUAAUUGUGUGUAUUUUUUAUCGAAGUUCAAGAGAACUGACUGUAUCGUGUUGUGUCAAUUUCUAUAAUUCCUCAUUGAUCACUUUUUUCAACUCUUAACCUUCUUUUUUGUGUAGGGUGUUCUGAGUCCAAAAACAUUAUCAAAUUUUGAGUGUCAGGGAGAUUUGUGUUAGUGUAGCUGUUUCAGUUCGUGAUGUUUGCAAGGACAAUUCGACAGGGGUGUUGACCUCAUACUUUCUGUGUCGUCAUGCAUUGAGAGUGAAGAUUCCACUGUGAAAGCUCUUGGCCUACAUAGUCUUUCUUCGCUCUGUGAAGCUGAUGUUGUUGAUUUCUAUACAGCAUGGGAAGUUGUUGCAAAACAUGUCAACACUUACACUGAAGAACCUGUUGUUGCAGC